rnacentral:rRNA from 1 species
CAGGUCUCCCUGAGGGCCGUGCAAGACCAGCACGUCGAUAGGCCAGGUGUGCAACUGCGGUAACGCAAGCAGCUAACUGGUCCUAAUCGCCCGAACGGCUCCAAA